GAGCGGGGGCCAGAGCGGCCGCCCCAGCCCGUGCCUCCCGGAGCGCGCGGAGGGUCGCGCGCCGCUCGGCCCCGCCCCGCCCCGCCCCGCCCCGCCCAGGCCCGGCGCGGGGUGUGUGGGGGCUGCUCCCCGCCGCGGCCCAGGGCCCGCAGCCCACAGACCCUGGGCGGCGGAGAAGCGUGCGCUGCAGCCUUCCACCCCUCUUACUCGCCAGCGCCUUACGGGUCCCGGAGCCCCUUUUUGUGCUGGGGGGACGCCCGGGCGGACUUACCGGACCCCUAGGUUGAUGUAGAGGCCGAUCUUCAACCUGUCCCUCCCUCUUGGCAAAAAAGAAAAUGCUCCUUUUUCAUCACUCACAACUAUAUUUAGGUAUCUGUUUUGUUUACCCCCCCGCCCCCCAAACCCCGGGUAGAAUGCAUGGCACAUGGUGAGCCCACAAUAAAUACAAGAUUAAAUGGAUAAUGCCCAGAGAACCGGUACUGAAAAUUUUGAAGCUAUAUGUUAACGCCCAUCGAUAGGAAAACCGAUAAAUAUAUAAUGGUCCUUCUAUGCUGUGAAAUACUAUUUCAGCCAUUAAAGCGUACAUUCGUGUUGUCUGACUCAAUAGAUCUUCAGGAUAUAUUUUUUAAAAAACACCUAUGUUAUGAUCCCAUUUAUGUUUAUUUUAAUUAGAUAUUGAUAUACGUGUUCAUGUAGGAAAGUGCAUUGUUUAAAGGCCUGAAUAAAAGGACACACUCUCAACUUCGUACACUGGGAUGGGAUGCAAGGAAAGGGAAGCCGUUCACUUGUCAUUCCACACAUUAUGUCGUUGGAAUUGUGUACAAGCUGACUGUGUCCAUGUGACAUUUGUGUAAUAAUAAAGUUAAAAAUUUCAAAACACUCCUCUUUCCCAAGCGUCUCAUGAAGAGGAAGCCAAGACGUCCAGGAGCUGUGUGCUGGUUUUGAAAUCUGCUUCCUGUGGGAUCAAUGAAUUCUUGUUGAUAGAUUGAUUGAUCCAUUGGGAGUGGCAGGCCAGGCUUAACCCACAUGGCUGGCCUCCACUCAGCCCCGGUGAGGGAAGUUUAUUUAUUUAAAUUUGUAAGUAAGAACAUUUCCAACUUGCCAGAGACAGAAAAGGAGGUUUUAUUGGGCAUAAAGGAGGGAAUCGAGAGAGGAACGCUUUUACACAAGGUCCCCAAAAGGGUCCAGGAGUUUUGUUCUUCUUUUCUUUAACCUCAGCCCUUUCAUAAAUAAAUUAAGGGGUGAUGAGGUAAUUAGAUCCCCGCACGAUCAGUAAUGGAGGAGGGGAGAAGAGGAGAGGAAGUCCAGCUGGAAUGGGAUCUGAUCAAAGAUCAGCCUUAAAAGUCAGAUAAAAUCAAAUCAGCAGACCUUCCCUAACUUGGAGUACUUAAGGAAUUAAUCGGCUGACAAGAUCAAGGGCAUCACAGCUCUGUGAGUAGGUUCUCCUUAGCAAAUCUGUCAUAGGAGACCUGCCGCUAAGUUAACUACUUCAUCGCUCACAGACAUCCCGGGACCCACCUUGGAAGCCCCACGCUGUCAAGAACGUGCCAGAGGGUAAAACUCAUCUCCUCCAGGGUCCUGGGUGGCCAUCUUAUCCAUCCAACAAAUACUUAACUGAGCUCCAACUGCUGCCUGGCACUGUACCAGGGCAGGGGACAGAGCAGAGAGUGAAUCAGCCACUGUCCUUGAACGUAAGAAAUUCCUAGGUUAGGAGGCCAAGGCCAGACCUUCAAGCUGUAGGCUCCUAAGAGCCUUGGGUAGCCCAGGUCUGCUUGGUACCAACCACAACAGAGGGCCUGUUUUGCAUGAUGGCGAAACCACUCAUGCCUUGGCACUGUGUUUCUAACAAAACAAAACAAAAAAUAAUUAAAAAUAAAAUGGAGGGAAGCCGAAACCGCUUCAUGGCUUGCCGGGACACUCCAACCACCCUGAAGUAAUUACACUUCUCCAGAUGUGUGAGGGUUCUCUGGAACUUGUUUUUUCUACUCAGUAUACUAUUGUCCCACCCUUUCUCUCCACCACCCAGAUCUGGCCUAAGUCUUCCUCAUCGUCAUAGUUUUCUGAUCUGUGUAAUCUCUGAGAAGCAUUCUUUGGCUGAGUAGGGGCCCGCCUCUGGCUUCCCCACUCACCUCGGCCCAACCAGAGUGCAGUCACUCUGCUUCUUGACUUGUCUGACUCAUCACUAACCCCCGAGCCCACGAGGGAGGAGCAGGAUAUAUUUCCAGCACCAGCAAAAGUGCAGCUACAGCAAACUCUUGAAACGUGUUUAUUAAACAAAUGGAAAUAAAAACAAGAAAACAGGGGGGAAAAUGUAUAGAAGCAGAAGAGGUUUUAAAUUUUUUCCCCCCUAGAUGAGCAUUUAUACCUUGUUUCAGACACCAUAGAAAUGGAGAGCUAAAACACCAGGGUCUGGUUGAUAGCAUGAAAAGUAAAGGGGUAAUGAUACAGGAAAAACUCCAUGUUAUCACUGUUUUAAGUUUAGCUUCUAAACAGGUCAAAAUUCCCUGGAUACUAUAGCAGUAAAGACUGGGAAGCCCUAGAUGAAGGGAAGUUAUUAAUAUCAUUGGGGAGUGGUAAAUGCUUUGCUUUUAGAAAGGAAAUGCUCAAGAAUGUGCAUAUGGGGUACAAAUGAAGGCAGUCCUUCUCUAUAAAAACUUCAUCUCAUCGAUGCAAAAACUAAAAGUGCACAAAAGUCUGCACUAAGUCAAAGUCUGAUUUUUUUUUUUCUUUUUCAUUCAAAUGGGUAAUUCCUUGACCCAUAUAGUACUUCUAGUCCUUUCAUCUCUGUAUGCAUUGUGUGUCAGGGACUGUGAUAGGCACUGGGAAUACUACAAAGACAAGAUACCUGCCCCACCCCAAGAAGAGAGGAGAGGGGUGAAGAUAUGCAAAUACCCAAACCUCAGUCAUACAAAGCCCAAUGAGGUGUCAGGAGAGAGAUAAACAAGGUAGAGUUCAAAGGAAGAAGCUCUCACAUCUGUUUCGGAAAGAGAUGGGCCUGGGAAGAUGGAGACGGGAGAGAGAGACCAGUUCAGGCAGGUGAGCAAACGCAGAGCAGAAGGAAGGCCAGGACACACCUGUGGUCUCCACAGGUGACAGUGAAGUGGAGUGAGAGUGUGUAUGCUAAGAACAUCCCAAAACAGAACAUUGUUCUUGAUUAUCAAUACACAUCCUGCUCACUGAGAUUGUGAGUACGGUGAACAUGGCCAGUCAUUUUGUGGUUAAAAGGCAAAAUGGUACUUUACUGAAAGAUAAUUCCCUUUCCUUCAUUAGCCUUCUUCUGAAAAAAGUUGUAAAAAUGUCCAAGAACUUGUAUUGUUUGUUCUAAGUACGCUCAAAACAGAAGAAAUAAGCCGAAAAGAAGUCAAAUUAAAACCCUGGACUAGAAAUGUCAGUCUAGUCCAGUAAAAUGGAGGCAUUGAGAGUUGGGGAGACUGGAGAAAUAAAUGUGCUCUAAAGGCUUAGUCAUCAUUUAAUUGUGUUAUGUUAAUAAAAAAAUAUGCCUUUGAUUAUGAUGUUAGCAAGGGGAAGGAAGGUAACCAUGGUAGAAUUGAAAAGCACAGUAGAGGUUCUGAAAUAACAGGGGAAUAAGGAAAUGUGAUUAAGGCAGCAAAAGUAGGGAAAAGGAGAAAGAGGAAAUAAGUAAAAUAGGUUGAAAGGAAUAAUAUCCAAUAUAUCUGUUGUUAUACAAUAAAUGCUAAAUUCCACUCUAAGAAACAGAAAUUGUCAAAUUAGAUUAUUUAAAAAUCCAGCUGUAUCUUAAAUAUGAAAAAAAACCCAACAUCCUGAUAAUGUGACAAAGAAAAGUUAAAAAUAAAAGAAUGAAACAGAUUGAUAAAUGUUCAAAGAUAUGCUAGAUAAAUGAAAACAAAAGAAAACAGCAUUAUUCAUAAUAAGUAAAAGAACUGGAAAUAACCAAAUACCCAUCAACUAAUGAAUGGAUAAAUAAAAUGUGCUAUAUCCAUAAAAUGGAAUAUUACUCAGCAAUAAAAAGGAAUGUACUGAUACAUGCUGCAAUAUGCAUGAAUCCUAAAAACAUCUUGAGUGAAAGAACCCAGUCACCAAGGACCACAUAUUCUAUGAUUGCAUUUAUAUGAAAUGUCCAGAUUAGGCAAAUUUAUAGAGGCAGAAAGUAGAUUAGUGACUGCCUAGGACUUGGCGGGCAGGGGGAAUGAUUGCCAAAAGGUAUGGUUUCUGUUUGAGGUAAGAAAAGUUGUUAUAAAAUUGAUUUGUGGUGGUAGCUGCACAGCCUUGUGAGUAUACUAAAAACCACUGACUGGUACUAAAAAAGUUCAAGAAUAUGUUUUUAAAUCUUCCAAAUACUCCACAUAGUAGAGAUUACACAGGCUGCAUUUUCUAAACAUAAUCCAAUGAAAUUAAAUAUCAGCAGCAAAGAUAUGAGAAAAUGUAACCACUUGGAAAUUAAGAAACAAUCUCCUAAAUAAAACAAAAAGUAAAAUUUCAAAUCAUCUAUAAUCUUAUGAGUAAAACACUGCAUACCAAAACCAUAGGAAUAUUGCUAAAACUACUCAGAGGAAAUCGUGUAGUCUUAAAUAUUUUUAUUUUUUUUAAAAGAUGAUAAAAAGAUGGAUUAAUUAACUAUUAAAAUUUUUAAAUUUGUGCAAGAAAACCAAAAUAAAUACAAGUAAGUCAAAAUAAUGAAGAAAGUAAAAAAAUAAAAUAAAAUCUAAAAUAAAAAAAUAAACAAUUUGUCAAAAGUAGGUGAAGGAAUUUGAACGGAGCAAUAAAAUAGAACGGAAAAAUAGCCUAGCAUGCCUGAUUAAAGGGUAAAGGAUAGAAAUAAUAAUAAUAAUAAUAAUAAUAAUAAUAAUAAACAGUAAUUGUGAAGAAGAAAUUACUGUUGGUUGGCCUAAGAGCCGAAAAGUGGAGGGUUCGAUUCCUGGUCAGGGCACAGGCCUUGGAUGCGGGGUUAUUAUUAUUUUUUUAUUGUUCGUUUGUUUUUAAUAUAUUUUUUUUUUUAUUUCAGAGAGAAAGGGAGAGGGGGAGAGAGAUAGAAACAUCAAUGAUGAGAGAGAAUCACUGAUCGGCUGCCUCCUCAUGCUGCCUACUUGAGAUCAAGCCCGAAACCUGGGCAUAUGACCUGACUGGGAAUCGAACCGAACUGUGACCUCCUGGUCUACAGGUCAACGUUCAACCGCUGAGUCACACUGCCUGGCAGCAUCAAUCAUUUUAGAAGGCCCGAGGUUCAGAUGGUUUACAGCGGAGAUGUCUUCAAUUUUAAAGAAUAAGAGCUUUCAUUGGGAAUGAUAAAUAUGUUUAUCGCCUUCAUUUCUUCAUUGCCAUGAUGGUUCCAUGGGUAUGUGCAUAAAUCAAAACUCAUCAAGUGUACGCUUCAAAUACGUACAAUGUGUUAUAGGUCAGUUAUACCUCUAAAAAGAUGUUUACAAAAUGACAGGGAAAGUAGGACUUCAGCUGAAACCGGUCUGGCUCAGUGGAUAGAGCGUCGGCCUGCGGACUGAGAGGUCCCAGGUUCGA